rnacentral:lncRNA from 1 species
CCGCACCCGCUUUACUUUAUUUAUUUCCCGCACUCGCUUUACUUUAUUUAUUUCUCGCAAUGUCUUUACUUUAUUUAUUUCCCGCACCCGCUUUACUUUAUUUAUUUUCCGCACUCGCUUUACUUUUUUUAUUUCUCGCACUCGCUUUACUUUAUUUAUAUCUCGCACUCGCUUUACUUUAUUUAUUUCUCGCACUCGCACUACUUUUAUU